rnacentral:misc_RNA from 1 species
GAUGAAGAACGUAGCGAAAUGCGAUACGUAAUGUGAAUUGCAGAAUUCAGUGAAUCAUCGAGUCUUUGAACGCACAUUGCGCCCCCUGGUAUUCCGGGGGGCAUGCCUGUCCGAGCGUCAUUGCUGCCCUCAAGCACGGCUUGUGUGUUGGGCCUCCGUCCUCCUCCCGGGGGACGGGCCCGAAAGGCAGCGGCGGCACCGCGUCCGGUCCUCGAGCGUAUGGGGCUUCGUCACCCGCUCUUGUAGGCCCGGCCGGCGCUUGCCGACACAUCAAUCUUUUUUCCAGGUUGACCUCGGAUCAGGUAGGGAUACCCGCUGAACUUAAGCAUAUCAAUAAGCCGAGGA